rnacentral:rRNA from 1 species
AACGAACGCUGGCGACAUGCCUAACACAUGCAAGUCGAACGCGUGUAGCAAUACACGAGUGGCGGACGGGUGAGUAACGCGUGGGAACCUGCCCAAUGGUAGGGAAUAACUGCGGGAAACUGCAGCUAAUACCCUAUGCUCCCUACGGGGGAAAGAUUUAUCGCCAUUGGAGGGGCCCGCGUCGGAUUAGCUAGUUGGCGGGGUAACGCCCACCAAGGCUACGAUCCGUAGCCGGUCUGAGAGGAUGAUCAGCCACACUGGGACUGAGAUACGGCCCAGACUCCUACGGGAGGCAGCAGUGGGGAAUAUUGGACAAUGGGGAAACCCUGAUCCAGCAAUGCCGCGUGAGUGAAGAAGGCCUUAGGGUUGUAAAGCUC